UACGUAGGGUGCGAGCGUUAAUCGGAAUUACUGGGCGUAAAGGGCUCGUAGGCGGCCAACUAAGUCAGACGUGAAAUCCCUCAGCUUAACUGGGGAACUGCGUCUGAUACUGGAUGGCUUGGAUUCGGGAGAGGAAUGCGGAAUUCCAGGUGUAGCGGUGAAAUGCGUAGAUAUCUGGAGGAACACCGGUGGCGAAGGCGGCAUUCUGGACCGAUAUUGACGCUGAGGAGCGAAAGCCAGGGGAGCAAACGGG
rnacentral:rRNA from 1 species